rnacentral:rRNA from 1 species
CCUACGGGUGACAGCAGUGAGGAAUAUUGGUCAAUGGGCGCGAGCCUGACCCAGCCAAGUAGCGUGAAGGAUGACUGCCCUACGGGUUGUAAACUUCUUUUAUCAAGGAAUAAAGUGAGGCACGUGUGCCUUUUUGUAUGUACUUUAUGAAUAAGGAUCGGCUACCUCCGUGCCAGCAGCCGCGGUAAUACGGAGGGUCCGAGCGUUAUCCGGCUUUAUUGGGUUUAAAGGGAGCGUCGAUGGGUUGUUCAGUCAGUUGUGAAAGUUUGCGGCUCAACCGUAAAAUUGCAAUUGAUACUGGCAGUCUUGAGUACAGUUGAGGUAGGCGGAAUUCGUGGUGUAGCGGUGAAAUGCUUAGAUAUCACGAAGAACUCCGAUUGCGAAGGCAGCUUACUAAACUGCCACUGACAUUGAUGCUCGAAAGUGUGGGUAUCAAACAGGAUUAGAUACCCCAGUAGUC